rnacentral:tRNA from 2 species
GCCGAGGUAGCUCAGUUGGUAGAGCAGAGGACUGAAAAUCCUCGUGUCGGCAGUUCAAUUCUGUCCCUCGGCACCA